rnacentral:rRNA from 1 species
AUUGAACGCUGGCGGCAUGCCUUACACAUGCAAGUCGAACGGUAACGGGCCUUCGGGUGCCGACGAGUGGCGAACGGGUGAGUAAUGUAUCGGAACGUACCUUUCAGUGGGGGAUAACGUAGCGAAAGUCACGCUAAUACCGCAUAUUCUGUGUGAAGGAAAGCAGGGGAUCGCAAGACCUUGCGCUGAUUGAGCGGCCGAUAUCAGAUUAGCUAGUUGGUGAGGUAAAGGCUCACCAAGGCGACGAUCUGUAGCGGGUCUGAGAGGAUGAUCCGCCACACGGGAACUGAGACACGGUCCAGACUCCUACGGGAGGCAGCAGUGGGGAAUUUUGGACAAUGGGGGCAACCCUGAUCCAGCCAUGCCGCGUGAGUGAAGAAGGCCUUCGGGUUGUAAAGCUCUUUCGGCCGGGAAGAAAUCGCACGGGCUAAUACCCUGUGUGGAUGACGGUACCGGAAUAAGAAGCACCGGCUAACUACGUGCCAGCCGCCGCGGUAACAC